rnacentral:rRNA from 1 species
GACGAACGCUGGCGGCGUGCCUAAUACAUGCAAGUCGAACGAGUGGCGGACGGGUGAGUAACACGUGGGAACCUACCCAUCAGAGGGGGAUAACUACUGGAAACGGUAGCUAAUACCGCAUACCAUCAGAUGAACCCAUAUGGGAUUAGCUUGUAGGUGAGGUAACGGCUCACCUAGGCGACGAUCCCUAGCUGGUCUGAGAGGAUGAUCAGCCACACUGGGACUGAGACACGGCCCAGACUCCUACGGGAGGCAGCAGUGGGGAAUAUUGCACAAUGGGCGCAAGCCUGAUGCAGCCAUGCCGCGUGUAUGAAGAAGGCCUUCGGGUUGUAAAGUACUUUCAGCGAGGAGGCGUUACUCGCAGAAGAAGCACCGGCUAACUCCGUGCCAGCAGCCGCGGUAAUAC